GCAGGUGGUGUUUGAAGAGGAGCAGGCGAGGAGCGGCUGAAAUAAGGUGGCGGUAUACACUUUGAAGCUGCAAAACGCC